rnacentral:rRNA from 1 species
CGGAGCAACGCCGCGUGAACGAUGAAGGUCUUCGGAUCGUAAAGUUCUGUUGUUAGGGAAGAACAAGUACCGUGCGAAUAGAGCGGUACCUUGACGGUACCUAACGAGGAAGCCCCGGCUAACUACGUGCCAGCAGCCGCGGUAAUACGUAGGGGGCAAGCGUUGUCCGGAAUUAUUGGGCGUAAAGCGCGCGCAGGCGGUUUCUUAAGUCUGAUGUGAAAGCCCACGGCUCAACCGUGGAGGGUCAUUGGAAACUGGGGAACUUGAGGACAGAAGAGGAGAGUGGAAUUCCACGUGUAGCGGUGAAAUGCGUAGAUAUGUGGAGGAACACCAGUGGCGAAGGCGACUCUCUGGUCUGUCUCUGACGCUGAGGUGCGAAAGCGUGGGUAGCAAACAGGAUUAGAUACCCUGGUAGUCCACGCCGUAAACGAUGAGUGCUAGGUGUUAGGGGGCUUCCACCCCUUAGUGCUGAAGUUAACGCAUUAAGCACUCCGCCUGGGGAGUACGGCCGCAAGGCUG